GAUGGGGUGCCUGAACCGGAUGUUUGGGCGGUCGCCUCAUGGGCAACCGCCUCAGGACUCGACGGAGGAUUGUUGUUCUGGCCUUCACCUUGUUC
rnacentral:tRNA from 1 species